AGGUUGACCCUAACUGGUCUGAGCUGGCUCGACCCUUAUCUUGAUUUUGGGGUCUUUUUGGAACCAUCCACUUACUUUUUCUUGGCUAAGCCGGAGCCCACCUACAGUGUACUAUUUCCUGGAGCUGUUGUUCUUUAAAUCUCUGCAUUAUUCUCUUUCUCUGUGGAAAUUUAACCUUUACCUGACUCUCACAGAGGGCUCACUUAGGAGGCCUCCCUGAUGUUCUAGGGCUAGAUAUCAGCAUCUCAUCCACAAACAGGAACACCUGGAGGACUUCCCCCCAUCCGUGAUGAAGCUUCUCUGACUUGGGCUCUGCUAAUCACGCUCAUCAGACGAGGUUGUCUUUGUUAUCUUUGUCCACGGGAUCAAUAAGCAGAGGGCCUGGUUGGAUCUGUAUGGACAGACACUGCAAAUGAAAAACGAGGCCCAACUUUCAAACAAUAUUCGUCCGCUCUCGGAUGGCUGAAUCACGGAAGAGAAGGGAAGGAUCAUCCAAAGAGCAAUGAAGAUGCCCUUAGUGGGCCUGGGUGAAGGCCCGGCUCUAUGUGCACUAUGGAACACUUGCCUGCCUAUUGGAAUAUCACUGUUCCAAUUAAAACAAUGAGAAGGAGUUUGGAGAAACUUGGGAAGAUUUAUGAACUGAUUCAGAAUGACAAAAGGCAAAUCAGGAGACAAUAUGUAAGUGAAAACACUGAAAGGUAGCUUGAUUCAUCUUGAUUGGAAUGGUCAGUCUUGGUCCUGGAAGAGAUGACCAAACAUUCUUCCUUCCUCUUAGUAGAAAGAUUUGGGGAUUGUGGUCGAAAAAUGUUACAUAUGCUGUCAGGUAUGGUUAAUGUGUCACUUGGUUUUACUAACCUGUUCUUGUUAUAAGGGAAGGCUCACUAUGUGGUGGUGGUGAGUUAUGUUUGAAAAAGACAGUUGGCAUAAAAGGAAGACACCAAAAAGUCUGACUUACGUGGCCUAGAUGCAUUUUUUUGUGCCAGGUGGAUUAAGCUAAGUCCUAACAACUCACAUUUAUACAGUGCUUAGUUAAGGUUUACAUAGGGGUACACGUCCAGAAUGAGUUUUUAUUAUAACUCUAAAAAGAAGGUAGAUCCUAACCCCAAACCUCAAGUCUUUCAAGUUCUCAGUGCUAAAGAGACUAAACUCCUUAUAGCAAAGUGAAAGGGAAGGAAAUGAAAUAUUUACAAAGAGAGGAAGAAACAGAAACAAGUUAUAGUUUAUGGGAAAGUGUUGAGAAUACCAGCCCUCAACCAUUUCAAAGGCAUUUCAAAUAUACAGAGACCACUCCAUUUCUGUGGCUUUCUCAUCUUGAAGGAUCCCUCCACCCCUGCUGCCUCCUUCAUGUAUAGUUGUCCUCAAUGGUGGUCAAAGGUACCUACUGGAACAUGUUCCAUGCCUGCCCACUUCCCAGAAAUUCACCAUAGGGGAUGCCAGCUGGCUUAGUAUUUAUAACAAAUACUAUUAUAUUUUAUAAUUUAGAGACAGCUAGGUGGCACAGAGAAUAGAGUGCUACAACACAGGAAUACACCUAAAUUCAAAUCCAGCCUCAGACACAUAACCUCAUGGUAACAUUUGCUCAUAAGCCUAAGGUCAAGUAGGCUCUGGAAGCUUCCUCCUUAGUCCUCCUAAGGCAGAUUUGACCAAGUUUCACAUAAUCUGUUAGAAUGUAACAAGAAGAGAAUAAAAUAAUAAUGUUUCAUGUGGAUUUCUGUUCAGUCAUCGAGACCAACCCUUGUCAUUCCCCAAACCAGCAUUGUUUUCUAUGAGCAAUUAGAACAAUAAUGCUCAAUGAUACUGUUUCUGAAAAAGCAACGCCUUUUCUGGGGGAAGGGAGGACAUGGGCCGGGAGAAGAAGAGAGGUGGGGAAUCCAGUCUUCAGGCAUUAGAGAGAUGAAGGAAAUUAUACUGGCCAUUUGGAAGAUAUUCGAUAACCAUUCUGAGUCAGGAAGCCCAGGCCUGAUUCUAUAUAAUGCUUGUUGGAGUAGUUCCCUUCUUCUCUUCAAUUGAACAACAAUUUAUGGAUGUCACUAAGAUGCAAGAACUAGUGAAAAGUCUUCUUUUCCUUCUCUCCAACCAAUGGUAGAACAUAAUCAUGUUAACAUCCACACUCAAGAUCUCUCUACUUGGGAGAGAACAGAGCUGUUUCAUUAAAAUAAAGCAUGGGUGUGUGUGUGUGUGUGUCACACUUAAGUUGCCCAGAGCAGGCUAUAGCUGUUAACCUGUCAGCCCAAAGCAGGAAACCCAUAUUACAGGUAGCAAGAUAAACAAAAUGGAUAUUUGCAUAAUGAAAAAAAGGUGAAGAGGUGAUUUGGUGACCAGAGACGUGGACAUAGGCCAUCUGGUAUAGGCCACUUCAUAGUGAAAAGCUAGAAAUACAGACUUCUAGAAGAAUCAAUGAUCAAAAGGAAGCUAAGCACAGAUGCCUACAGAAAAACCAGCAAAGAUCUGGUGACAAAGGAAACGUCCCUGAUGUAAUAAAUACCAUUUGACUAGAGAUCAUUUGGACCUAUGGCCCAAACAGAAAAAGCUCCCAUUCCUCUAACGACCUGAAGUUUCAGCCCAGGAUUCAAGAGUAGAAUGGUAGAGAAGAAAGAGAUUAAAUCUCACUUUAGCCUCAGAGUAUGCAUAACAUCUGUUACUUCAUUUGAUCUUGACAAUAACCCUUUGACUUGUUCAAGGUUAUUCAAGGUGUUAGACUUUUGGAACUCCUUGAACAGGAAGUGAUGGAGCUGAGAGAUCACAAUCUUAGGCUCCUUCCACUACAUUACACUUCAGUUCUUCCUCCUAGCACCAUAACCCUGGAAGGCUGUGAAGUAGAAGGGAGAUAACCAGAAAUGGUUUAAGUUGGAGCUAUGAAUCUAAACUGAGGGAGUGGUAGUGAUGAUAUACAUCAUACAGAGUCUAUUUCUAAAUUUUCCUCUGUGUGUUUUUCAAGAAGCCUGGUGGGCACUUAACCCAAAUGUUAAUUGAGUGAACUGGACUAUAGUACACCAGGAUAUGCAAAAGAGAUUCCACUAAACAUGGUAGAAAAUUAGAAAGGCCAAAC